AUCUUUUGUUACUCCAUGGUUUAUUGAAAAUUCGAGAAGGCCCAAAUAGCAUUAACAUUAAUCAAUUUUCUAACUCUAGAAGAUAUUUCAAAGCUUGAGCACCCGAGAUCAAUCCUUGCGAAAUUAAGAUUAAGGCUUAAACUCAUUUCAUACAUGCAGCUGCGGAGGAUCAAGUCACUAGUAUUAUAGUGCAGUUACAACUCAAUAAGGUUUCAAGAAUUUAAGGAGUGCACUGCGUUGACAGACAGAGUAUGGGGAAGUUAUAGCUAAAAAGGGACUUGUGCAAUUGCGGUGCGUCCAGCUACUUAUAAAAAAGUUACUAUUUUGUGCAAAUGCGGUGCUUCCAAUGUGCAAAUGCGGUGCGUCCAGUUACGGCUAAAAAAGUGUCGAGGAGGGAAGUCGGGGACUUGCAAGACAUCAGUUCCCUGGAGAGCUUCUCGCAGCUUCUUCCAGCGCUCAACCAUCACAAACUGCCCAAACUCGAAGAAAUUAGUGGAGGUGGAGAUCAUCUCCAAGAUGCUGAUAGAUCUGGGUUGAGCUUCCUUGGACACCCCAAUGGUGCUGAUCUCCAAGAACUUCACCAUCAGUUUUGCCACGUGCGAGUCCUUCACUAUCGCCCAUCUUCACAUACACCAAAAAUGGAAAAUGAAACUAACCACAUAUAUAUAGAAACAAAUCAACAGAAGAUCACUUCUUUGUAAGAAAACCAAAGCAUUAUAAUUAAAUCAUCUACCCGAUCCUUGACCCCGUGUGUCCGGUGCAUUUGGACGUGGUGAAAAGCAUGAUGUCGUGAUCUGAAGGCUUCGUGAUGGCCGUCAACUAAGGCCAAUAGUAUGUAAGGUCAUGAACCAGCAUGCCAUUGUUUUAUUCACUACAGGCCCCCUUAGGCCGUCAUCAGGAUUGUUGGGGGAAGUGACCAUUUCGAUGUAAGGUUGAUCAUCACGGUCAUAAGCAUGAGCAUCGCCACCCCACUUGAACAGUCCUGAUCUCAUAUGUGUACAAUGUGUAAAACACACACCAAUAAUUGUUGCAUUCAUUCACAUGCCAAUAUUCAUGAGAAGAGGCAAAUGCAAACACAUGCGGCCAACAAAACACACUCUACACACACUGAAGAAUCCUAUUGCAUUCAUUCACAUGCCAAUAUUCAUGAGAAGAGGCAAAUGCAAACACAUGCGGCCAACAAAACACACUCAACACACACUGAAGAAUCCUAGUAGGUUAUGUGCACAACGUAUAAAAACAGACACUGCAUGCACAUAAUGAGAGAUCAUAAAACACAAAAAAGCUAAAUAAAAGCAAAAAUAAAGAAAAAUAGAAACAAUGCAUACUUAUCAAAAUCGAGAAUGGGAAUGGAUUGAAGGUUAAGGUUAGUGUGCAUCGACUCGGUAGUUUUGAUCGUUUCAACCUUCGUGGCCACCACCAUUACAACUGCAUCCACAUAAGCAGCAGCAACAGG